CUUCCUCUCUGGUUUCUCUCAGUUUUCUCCGAGCCGUCCGCCUCCCUCCGCCAUUUUCCUCCGUUUUCCUCCCAAAAAGCUCGGUUUUAAGCCUCAAAAUUGCCAAGGGUGAAGGGAUUUCUGUGUAUUUGUUGAAGGUUGGGUAUUCGGUUUUUGUUGGACUAAAGAGAUUGCUAGCAAGAUAUUGAAGGCAUUGGACACACACGUGGAUUAAUUUGACCGUCAGAUAUCCCAGCUGAUUGUGAACGAGCGCCUCCAAAUAAACGUGGACGCCAUAAAGGAUUGAACACGCGGGAAAAGAGGGAACAGUUGGGGCGUCCUCUCCCUCUCGAGUGGGAUGUGCGGGGGAGAACAUAUAAAGAGAUCGAAGAGUACAGCUCAAAUUUCUCAAGAGAGCUCGGAUUACUUGUUCGACAGUACACAG